rnacentral:lncRNA from 1 species
AUGGACAGUCUCCACACACUUCUACACACUCCUCUCACGGACAGUCUUCACACACUUCUACACACUCCUCUCACGGACAGUCUCCACACACUUCUACACACUCCUCCCAUAGACAGUCUCCACACACUUCUACACACUCCUCUCACGGACAGUCUCCACACACUUCUACACACUCCUCUCACGGACAGUCUUCACACACUUCUACACACUCCUCCCAUGGACAGUCUCCACACACUUCUACACACUCCUCUCACGGACAGUCUCCACACACUUCUACACACUCCUGUCACGGACAGUCUUCACACACUUCUACACACUCCUCUCACGGACAGUCUCCACACACUUCUACACACUCCUCCCAUGGACAGUCUCCACACACUUCUACACACUCCUCUCACGGACAGUCUUCACACACUUCUACACACUCCUCUCACGGACAGUCUCCACACACUUCUACACACUCCUCCCAUAGACAGUCUCCACACACUUCUACACACUCCUCUCACGGACAGUCUCCACACACUUCUACACACUCCUCUCACGGACAGUCUUCACACACUUCUACACACUCCUCUCACGGACAGUCUCCACACACUUCUACACACUCCUCCCAUGGACAGUCUCCACACACUUCUACACACUCCUCCCAUGGACAGUCUCCACACACUUCUACACACUCCUCUCACGGACAGUCUCCACACACUUCUACACACUCCUCCCAUGGACAGUCUCCACACACUUCUACACACUCCUCUCACAGACAGUCUUCACACACUUCUACACACUCCUCUCACGGAUAGUCUCCACACACUUCUACACACUCCUCCCAUGGACAGUCUCCACACACUUCUACACACUCCUCCCAUGGACAGUCUCCACACACUUCUACACACUCCUCUCACAGACAGUCUUCACACACUUCUACACACUCCUCUCACAGACAGUCUUCACACACUUCUACACACUCCUCCCAUGGACAGUCUCCACACACUUCUACACACUCCCCUCAUGGACAGUCUCCACACACUUCCACACACUCCUCUCAUGGACAGUCUCCACACACUUCUACACACUCCUCUCAUGGAUAGUCUCCACACACUUCUACACACUCCUCUCACGGACAGUCUCCACACACUUCUACACACUCCCUUACACACACUCCCACACACUCCUCUUACAGAGGCUUCCAUGCAGAGGCAGGGACACAGGUGGACUGACAAGACAAUGGUCACCAUGCAGGAUGCAUAG